AUGCACAUCGUAGCAAAAAUCGCAUGCAGGAUCCUUGCCAAUCGCUUGGGGCCUGAGCUCCACAAGUUGGUCUCCCAUAGUCAGAGUGCUUUCAUCCGAGGUUGGUCCAUCCAGGAUAACUUCCUAUACGUCCAGAAUGAGAUCAAGGAAGCCCACAAGAAGAAGAAUCCCAUCUUAUUCCUAAAAUUGGAUAUUACCAAGGCAUUUGAUUCUGUGAGCUGGCCAUACACGAUAGAGGUCCUCACGGGUUUUGGGUUUGGACAGCGGUGGAGGGACAUUGUGUGCAUCCUACUUGCGUCUUCUUCAUCAAGGGUCAUGCUCAAUGGAACACCUGGAUAUCCUUUCAUGCAUAGGUGUGGACUCAGGCAGGGGGACCCCUUGUCCCCCAUGCUAUUCAUCCUUGUGAUUGACCACCUACAACGGCUACUCUAGAAGGCCAUGGAGGCUAACAUAUUGUUACCUAUACCCUUGCGUGUUGCCCGGCUGAGAACGAGCUUUUACGAGGAUGAUGCCGCUCUGUUUGUGAACCCAUGUUCUUAUGAAAUGGGGGCCCUGAGGUGUAUUUUGACAUGUUUUGGGGAAAUACCAGGUCUGAAAGUGAAUGAGGCAAAAAGUGUCAUAUACACAAUUCAGUGUGACCAUUUGGAUGUUCAGGGACUAGUGCAUCAAUUUGGAGGGGUGAAUGGACUUUUCCCUUGCGGUUACGGGGUUACCACUCUCUAUUCGAAAGUUGAGACGCACUGA
rnacentral:rRNA from 1 species